rnacentral:rRNA from 1 species
CCUACGGGUGGCUGCAGUGGGGAAUAUUGGACAAUGGGGGCAACCCUGAUCCAGCCAUGCCGCGUGUGGGAAGAAGGCCCUCGGGUUGUAAAGCACUUUCAGUGAGGAAGAACGCCUGGUGGUUAAUACCCAUCAGGAAAGACAUCACUCACAGAAGAAGCACCGGCUAACUCCGUGCCAGCAGCCGCGGUAAUACGGAGGGUGCGAGCGUUAAUCGGAAUUACUGGGCGUAAAGCGCGCGUAGGUGGCUUGAUAAGCCGGUUGUGAAAGCCCCGGGCUCAACCUGGGAACGGCAUCCGGAACUGUCAAGCUAGAGUGCAGGAGAGGAAGGUAGAAUUCCCGGUGUAGCGGUGAAAUGCGUAGAGAUCGGGAGGAAUACCAGUGGCGAAGGCGGCCUUCUGGACUGACACUGACACUGAGGUGCGAAAGCGUGGGUAGCAAACAGGAUUAGAUACCCCGGUAGUC